rnacentral:rRNA from 1 species
AGUGAGGAAUAUUGGUCAAUGGGCGAAAGCCUGAACCAGCCAUGUCGCGUGCAGGACGACGGCCCUACGGGUUGUAAACUGCUUUUAUACGGGAAGAAUGGUUUCUACGUGUAGAGAUUCGACGGUACCGUAUGAAUAAGCACCGGCUAACUCCGUGCCAGCAGCCGCGGUAAUACGGAGGGUGCAAGCGUUAUCCGGAUUCAUUGGGUUUAAAGGGUGCGUAGGCGGAAUAGUAAGUCAGGGGUGAAAGUUUGCGGCUCAACCGUAAAAUUGCCUUUGAUACUGUUAUUCUUGAGUACAUUUGAGGUAGGCGGAAUGUAGUGUGUAGCGGUGAAAUGCUUAGAUAUACUACAGAACACCGAUUGCGAAGGCAGCUUACUAAACUGUAACUGACGCUGAUGCACGAAAGCGUGGGGAUCGAA